CAGAUGCAGUUUAAUGUCACAUCAUCGACAGCCAAUCAGCUGCAUUCGUUUCCUUUGAUGAGGAAGAAGGUUCCUGUGGCCACGCCCAGCAGACCCACGGUCAGACCCAGUCCACAAAACAC